UUGGCAACUCCGUAAGGAAAGCAGCUAUUGCAGCUAUCAGUAAGGAAAGCAGCUAUUGGCUGUCCUAGAAGUCGCUAAAUUACGUCAUCACCGCAUUUGCAUAAGUGGCCUUGUGCAUGUAAUUGUGAUGGAAGCUGAAGGAGAGGAACAACGUUGUGGGGGAGACAAAAAGGCACUCCAGGAACUCGGCAUCAUGAUAUCCACCACAAUUGCAACACCGUCGUCCUUCUACAUACCUUUCUUCAGAAUAAUAUUUUUGUCUGCAUACACUUGAAACAUGGCCCAAUUCUUACACUGCAGUGAUUUGGAGACCGGGUCAGAUCCCGGGCACCAACCACACCAGGAAUUCUCUUCAACUAUUCAACCUGAACAUCCGUUGGCACCCCUGAGAUGACUCCUUUGACCUGUGCUCUACUCCGAAGUUCAAAACACAACUUCUGUGGUCCGGAUUCUUUUGAGGCUCACUGCAAUCUUCCUCUGCUCUUCAGAAAUACAAUUAAUUAAAAUAAGACCACUCCUGUUCACUCUGACAGACUCUUCCAAGCGCAUACUUCACAAUUUGACACCUCAAACGGGUUUCCCACAUAUGCAUCCCAACAAGAAGUGAUUCAUUUGCACACGUAUUCUCCAUUCCAAUGUUAGGACAAUUUAUUUUUUGUUCCAGUUUUCAAUAUUACUGUUGUCCAUUCAGAACAUUCGCCUUCACCAAAUUUACUUAACGCGCUGAUCCAUUUGAACUCAUCAACCAUUUCUACGAUCUUCCUCCCUUAACCCCCUACCAUUUGACAUGUCAACUUCAAUGGGGUAGGGACGUCCCAAGAAUCCAGAUAGCAAAAGAGCUGGUUAAAAAGGGUACUCCACUGCCUCACUAUGGUACUUUACCGCGUCUACUGGAAGAUCAGAUGAAUUCACACAAAAUCAAUGUGGAAAAACAAAUGCCCCAUAGGACUGCAUUACCACCUGCACAUAAGUUUACGUUUAUAAACAACUAAAAAUUGACAUGGAUUUCAUCAGCCAGUGAGACAGACUUGCACACUAUAACAUUUGAAAAUAAGUACAAAAGCAAAUUAGAAUGGUUCAUUUAGUUAAAUCAUUGUGUGUGUGUAACACUUUUAUUGUGUGUGAUUGUAAAUACAGAAGUGCAAGAAAGAGAAAUGGACAACAGAGUACAUUAUCCAUGACUGAGGGUUUCUUCUAUUAAACUGAACAAAUAUACAAUUAUUUUCUAAUCAAUUUGAAUCAAAUUAAACGUAUUUAUACAAUUUAAAUGCAUAGCUAUCACUCUAUUGUGCUGUCGAAUCAGUUCUGAUUUGACCAUUUAGACCCAUCGGACAAUCAGUCUCUCAAUACACCUAGUGCUGCCACUCCGAUAGUGGAGAACACAGAUGCCAGCUGGUAGAGGGCCUGUCCCCUGGCACUGCGCCCCAGAAGCUUAGGGUCUCCUUCCAUAGGUGCCCUGUGGCUAAAGAUCUCAUACAUACUGGGUCCAUACACCUCAGUGGCUGUCACAAUGGCACAUAACCCCUCAGCGCUUUUUGCAAUUCUCAGUGCAGAAGGUACAUAAAAGCCCUGAAAUCCUUAGAUCAGAGAAAGCCUGCAGGUCCUGAUCUUCUUGAUCCCUGCUUUUUAAAACUGGCAGCUGAUUUCAUAGCUGAACCAAUUACAUAUUUGUUCAAUCUAACCCUGGAAUUUAAUGAAAUUCCAAAGAUUGGAAAUCAGCAUUUGUCCUACCACUUUUAAAAGGGGGAGAUCCAACUAUUUUAAAUAAUUAUAGGCCAAUCUCAAAGCUGUCACCCCUGGCGAAAAUACUUGAAACCCUUGUCCAUAAAAACUAUUUUAUCUGUUCACUAACUCUAUUUUAUCAAUGUACCAAUCGGGCUUCAGAAAGAAGCAUAACACAAUUACAGCAGCCAUGAAGGUUUGAAAUGAUUUCACUGAAGCCCUUGACAAAAAACAGCACUGUCUCACUUUUUAUUGAUCUCUCAAAGGCUUUUGAUACAGUUGAUCAUGCUAUACUGAGGCAGAGAUUGUGUCUGUUAAAUUGUCUCUCUAAUGGUGUGCCCCAGGGCUCUGUACUUGGUCCCCUCUUAUUCACUAUUUAAAAAAAUAAGUUAGUCAAAUGUGCAAAAUGCACAACUUCACUUUUAUGCUGAUAAUGUUGUUAUUUAUUGUUGUGCCUCAUCUCUCACAAAAGCUUUCCAAAACUUGCAAACUGCUUUUUAUAUUGUUCAACAUACCUUGUGUCAAUUGAAGCUUAUCCUCAAUACUGACACCUAAACUAAUGGUGUUUCCUAAGGCAAAAAAUAGACCUCUGAACCUUUCACCUAUUACUACCUGUCAGGGCAAUGAGAUUGAGACUGUAACCUCGUAAAUAUCUUGGAAUUUAGUUUGGUAAAUGGGCUUUUAUGUACUCUGCGCCAUCGGCUUGGAACACCUUACAAAAUACUUUUAAAUUGGAAGAACUUUUUUUUAGUCAUUGAUGACAUUUUCAACCUGAGUCUGUAAUACCAACAUAUUUCAAACAGACCACCAUAGUCCCUGUGCCCAAGAACACUAAGGUAACCUGCCUAAAUGACUACCGACCUGUAGCACUCACGUCUGUAGCCAUGAAGUGCUUUGAAAGGCUGGUCAUGGCUCACAUCAACACCAUCAUCCCAUAAAUCCUAGACCCACUCCAAUUGUCAUACCGCCCCAAUAGAUCCAUAGAUUAUGCAAUCUCUAUUGCACUCCACACUGCCCUUUCACACCGGGACAAAAGGAACACUUAUGUGAGAAUGCUAUUCAUUGACUACAGCUCAGCAUUCAACACCAUGGUGCCCUCCAAAGCUCAUCACUAAGCUAAGGACCCUAGAACUAAACACCCCCUCAGGCAACUGAAAAGAUUUGACAUGGGUCCUCAGAUCCUCAAAAGGUUUUACAGCUGCACCAUCGAGAGCAUCCUGACCGGUUGCAUCACUGCUUGGUAUGGCAACUGCUCGGCCUCCGACCACAAGCUUCCUGCCAUCCAGGACCUUUUACCAGGCGGUGUCAGAGUAGGGCCCUAAAAAUUGUCAGACUCCAGCCACCCUAGUCAUAGACUGUUCUCUCUGCUACGGCAUGGCCAGCAGUACUGGAGCGCCAAGUCUACGUCUAAGAGGCUUCUGAAACAGCUUCUACCCCCAAGCCAUAAGACUGCUGAACAUCUAAUCAAAUGGCUACCCAGACUUUUGCACCCCCCUACGCUGCUCCUACUUUCUGUUAUUAUCUAUGCAUAGCCACUUUAAUAACUCUAUCUACAUGUAAAUAAUUAUGUCAAUUACUUUGACACCGGUGCCCCCACAUAUUGACACAUUGACUCUGUACUGGUACUCCCUGUAUAUAGCCCCGCUGUUGUUAUUUACUGCUGCUCUUUAAUUAUUUGUUAUUCUUAUCUCUUACUUUUUGGGGGGGGAUUUUCUUAAAACUGCAUUGUUGGUUAAGGGCCUGUAAGUAAUAAUUUCACUGUAAGGUGUUGUAUUCGGCGCAUGUGACAAAUAAAAUUUGAAUUGAUUACCCCCAAGCCAUAAGACUUCUGAACUGCUAAUCAAGUGGCUACCCUGACUAUUUGCAUUGCCCCCCUUACGCUGCUGCUACUCUCUGUUAUUAUCUAUGCAUAGUCACUUUAACUCUACCUACAUGUACAUAUUACCUCAAUUACCUCUACUAACUGGUGCCACCGCACAUUGACUCUGUACCAGUACCCCCUGUAUAUAGUCUAGCUAUUGUUAUUUUUCUGCUGCUCUUUAAUUAUUUGUUACUUUUAUUUAACAUUUUUUACUUAACACUUAUUUUUCUUAAAACUGCAGUGUUGGUUAAGGGCUUGUAAAGUAAGAGUUUCACUGUAUGGUAUUCUGUUGUAUUCGGCGCAUGUGACAAAUAAAAUUGGAUUUGAUCUAUCUGUAAA